UAAUACAUGCAAGUCGAGCGAAUCGGAGGGAGCUUGGGCCUGAAGAUUAGCGGCGGACGGGUGAGUAACACGUGGGCAACCUGCCUGUAAGACUGGGAUAACUUCGGGAAACCGGAGCUAAUACCGGAUAAUCCUUUCCCUCUCAUGAGGGAAAGCUGAAAGUCGGUUUCGGCUGACACUUACAGAUGGGCCCGCGGCGCAUUAGCUAGUUGGUGAGGUAACGGCUCACCAAGGCGACGAUGCGUAGCCGACCUGAGAGGGUGAUCGGCCACACUGGGACUGAGACACGGCCCAGACUCCUACGGGAGGCAGCAGUAGGGAAUCUUCCGCAAUGGACGAAAGUCUGACGGAGCAACGCCGCGUGAGCGAUGAAGGCCUUCGGGUCGUAAAGCUCUGUUGUUAGGGAAGAACAAGUAUCGGAGUAACUGCCGGUACCUUGACGGUACCUAACCAGAAAGCCA
rnacentral:rRNA from 2 species